CGUGAAACUGCGAAUGGCUCAUUAAAUCAGUUAUCGUUUAUUUGAUAGUACCUUACUACUUGGAUAACCGUGGUAAUUCUAGAGCUAAUACAUGCUGAAAACCCCGACUUCGGGAGGGGUGUAUUUAUUAGAUAAAAAACCAAUGCCCUUCGGGGCUCCUUGGUGAUUCAUGAUAACUUCUCAGAUCGCAUGGCCUUGCGCCGGCGACGGGUUCAUUCAAAUUUCUGCCCUAUCAACUUUCGAUGGUAAGGUAUUGGCUUACCAUGGUUUCAACGGGUAACGGGGAAUUAGGGUUCGAUUCCGGAGAAGGGGCCUGAGAGACGGCCACUACAUCCAAGGAAGGCAGCAGGCGCGCAAAUUACCCAAUCCCGACACGGGGAGGUAGUGACAAUAAAUACUGAUACAGGGCUCUUUUGGGUCUUGUAAUUGGAAUGAGUACAAUUUAAACCUCUUAACGAGGAACAAUUGGAGGGCAAGUCUGGUGCCAGCAGCCGCGGUAAUUCCAGCUCCAAUAGCGUAUAUUAAAGUUGUUGCAGUUAAAAAGCUCGUAGUUGAACCUUUGGCCUGGCUGGCAGGUCCGCCUCACCGCGUGUACUUGUCCGGCCGGGCCUUUUCUUCUGGAGAACCGCAUGCCCUUCACUGGGUGUGUUGGGGACCAGGACUUUUACUUUGAAAAAAUUAGAGUGUUCAAAGCAGGCCUUUGCUCGAAUACGUUAGCAUGGAAUAAUAGAAUAGGACGUGCGGUUCUAUUUUGUUGGUUUCUAGGACCGCCGUAAUGAUUAAUAGGGACAGUCGGGGGCAUCAGUAUUCAAUUGUCAGAGGUGAAAUUCUUGGAUUUAUUGAAGACUAACUACUGCGAAAGCAUUUGCCAAGGAUGUUUUCAUUAAUCAGUGAACGAAAGUUAGGGGAUCGAAGACGAUCAGAUACCGUCGUAGUCUUAACCAUAAACUAUGCCGACUAGGGAUCGGGCGGUGUUUCAAUAUUGACUCGCUCGGCACCUUACGAGAAAUCAAAGUGUU
rnacentral:rRNA from 1 species